rnacentral:rRNA from 1 species
UACGGAGGGGGCUAGCGUUGUUCGGAAUUACUGGGCGUAAAGCGCGCGUAGGCGGACCUGCAAGUCGGGGGUGAAAGCCCGAGGCUCAACCUCGGAACUGCCUUCGAUACUGCGGGUCUCGAGUCCGGGAGAGGUGAGUGGAAUUCCUAGUGUAGAGGUGAAAUUCGUAGAUAUUAGGAAGAACACCAGUGGCGAAGGCGGCUCACUGGCCCGGUACUGACGCUGAGGCGUGAAAGCGUGGGGAGCAAACAGGG